AGUAUUUUGACUAUACAAAGGUAUUGAAAUAAGACUUUAAUUGAGUGCUAAGAGAAUGGAAUUUCAUAAAAUUUCUUUUUUAAUUUUAAAAAUUGAAAUUAAUUUUAUAUGUGAAGAAACAAUAAUAAAAAUUAAGGACAAGAAGACCCUAAGAAUUUUAAAAAUUUCAAUAAAAUACAGUAUUUUAUUGAAAUUUUUUAAUUGGGGCGAUUAUUAAAUAUUAAAAACUUUAAUUUUUUUAAAAAAGAACCAAUAAUAUUGGUUAUUUGAAAAAAUACUCUAGGGAUAACAGCGUAAUAAUUUUUGAUAGUUCUUAUAGACAAAAUAGUUUGCGACCUCGAUGUUGGAUUAGGAUUCUUUUUUAAUGAAGAAGUUAAAAAAAGAAGUUUGUUCAACUUUUAAAAUCCUA
rnacentral:rRNA from 1 species